ensembl:lncRNA
ACCAAAUUCACAGGACAAAGGCAAAGCUGCCCAUCCUGCCAGGAAGCAAAGCCUACAACUCUUCUUGCUGACACCUAUAAUUAGGCUGGGCUCUUGUCUCAGGAUGAUGAGUGCUGAUGGGAAAGAGGAGAAAGAUCCUGCCAGGGGUAUCGUGUGGAGCUGAGCCAGAGCAGACCCAGGCCAUGAGCAGCAAUUGCCAACAGAUGUUUGCCUGGUCUUAAAUUACGUUGUCUGCAUGCCUGGAAAAAGAUAGUGUCUUAUAAAUAACUGUGCUUUGAUGCUCUGUGGCCUUGCAUAUUCAGGUCCCACCGUUAGGCACGUAUGUGUUAGUCAGAACUAGCUGGAAAUGGACUGGGGGUGGAAUUUCUUUAGUCAUGUCCAGAAGUGGGGUGCUGUCAGCUCUUCCUGGGAAGUUAUGGGGGAUCGUGGAAGAAUGACUCAUCCGUUCUGUUCUGCGUGAGGAAGCCUGGGAAAGCACCAUGCUUCUGGAGGAAAAGGCGUGCAAUUCAGCAGCUUAAUACUCCCAGCACGACGUCCUCCCCAUGUGCCACUGAAGAAUGGGCACUGAGGAUUUAUAGUAACAUGCUGCAGUGCCCUGAGAUGAAGCAUGUAACUGGCACCUGCCUUAGGAUGAGUGAGGGUUUCUCUCCUCUGCCUUGGAAUAACAGCCUUGGGAUUACAGCUUGGGUUGCCCUGCUCUGUACUCAGGAUGCAUCAGGAGAAGAUACUUCAGUGCCUUCCUUUGCAGGCAAUGCCAGGGGAAGGCAUCUUGGUGCCCAGCAGUGCAAGGAGCUCUGUGGUAGCAGGACUCUGGGAUCCCUGGGCAGAGUGGAACUGAAUGCACACCUCCUAUUUCCCCAAGGAGCUUUUAGGAUCUCCAAGUGAUCUCCCACCUGCACCCAAGAGGUCCAUUUUAUCUGCUUCUCGGACAAAGCGUGAAAUUAGGAGCUUAUCUACAAUCACUAAAAUCGAAGGUAGGUCUUUCCCUUGGCUUUAGUGGGUUAUAAAUCAAACUGGAUGUGAAUAGCUGAGCAGUGCCAUUGUGAUGACUGAUACGUGGAGUGAUGGGCUGGAGACACGUGCUACCAAUAAGCAUGGAGGUGUCACCUGUCAAGUGACAGCUUCACUGGGCUCAGUGGCAGAGAGCCCACCUGGGAGCUUCAGAGCUCACCCAACUGCUUUCUGGAUGGCUGGGAGGUAUCGCAGCAUUCUCCCAACAGAACUUUCUGUUUCGCUGCAUCCUUCCUUUCCUAUCUAUGAAUUUUUUCUAGACUGAAUUUCCAGUGUUAACCCCGGAAAGAACUGGUGUUUGACUGCAUCAAACCAGAAGCCCUCCUUACAGCACAAGGACUAAAAUUCCCCUCGAUUUUUUUUAUGCUCUUGUCUGCUCUAUUGUUCUUCAUUCUGGACCGACCCUUCUGCUCGCUCCAUUCAGUGUGCUUGUUUUUCAGCAGCUGCCUGGAAAUAGUCACAAAGAACCCACAAAUAACCUCAGUGCAUCAAAGAACGCUUCUACGGGCAAUCUGAGAAAUAAAUUAGAACUAACAUAAUCAAGAGGUGGCAAUUAAUAAAACAUAAAAAUUAUCUUCCUGCAUGUGGGUUUUAUUAAUCUUUUAGAUAGUGAGAAACAUGGUAGCCUUUGCUCUAACCACUUGCCUGAUGGACUGGGUUAUUUUGUAUAUGUAGUCAGACUGCUAUCCUUGCUGUUGCACUGGAAUUCAUUUUGGUUGCCUGUCAAGGAAAAAAAAGCUACAAUUACUUUCCAACUGCUGCAAGCAUCCUGAUCUGUAUGCGGAAGAGAUGGUCCCAUAUAAGCAGGUCAGAAUAAUUACUACUGCCUGGAAGGGCUGUCAGAGCUGAGUCCCUGGCAAUACUUCUGCUUCAGAUCCUCUUGCAAACCCAAAGAAUGGGGAAAAAUAUCUUCCUGGGGCAGCAACAAUAUGGACUGCUGACCCUCCCACCCAGGACCCUUUGGGAUUUCCACAUGGUGGUG